rnacentral:rRNA from 1 species
UACGUAGGGGGCAAGCGUUGUCCGGAAUCAUUGGGCGGUAAAGAGCGUGUAGGCGGCUCGGUAAGUCCGCUGUGAAAGUCCAGGGCUCAACCCUGGAAUGCCGGUGGAAACUGUCGAGCCAGAAUCCGGAAGAGGCGAGUGGAAUUCCUGGUGUAGCGGUGAAAUGCGCAGAUAUCAGGAGGAACACCAAUGGCGAAGGCAGCUCGCUGGGACGGUAUUGACGCUGAGACGCGAAAGCGUGGGAGCAAACAGG